ensembl:snRNA U6 U6 spliceosomal RNA
GUGUUUGCUUUGGCAGCACAUACACUAACAAACUGGAAUGAUACAGAGAAGAUUAGCAUGGCCCCUGAACAAGGAUGACAUGCAAAUUCAUGAAGCAUUAUAUAUUCUU